rnacentral:lncRNA from 1 species
AUUAACCAAAAUAAGUAAACUACCAUACCGUAAAUAGAAAACUACCCCAAAUAAAAGCAACCAACAAAAAAAAAAAAAAAAACAAAAAAAAAACCCAAGGACGAAUCAAUUUACUCGAUCUUGAGCUAUUCCCACGCAAACCAACCAAUCAAAACCGACAAAUUGAAGCGUUUGAAUCGCUCAAAACCCACAAAAAUGAGCAAAGCUCCCACCUUUGAUCGAGCAAAGCGCAGGAACCGAUCAAAACGACGCGAAAUGAUUAUAAAAAAAAGAAAAAGGAACGAAAAGGCUCCGGUUUUACUCUUCGUCAUCAACAUACCUCUAAUUAAGUGGCGGCGUAUUCGAGAGAGAGAGAGAGAGAGAGAGAGAGAGAGAGAAAAGGAAAGGAGAAGAUCAAAUGAGACGAGAUCCGAGGAUUUAAAUUGCCCAUUUUGGAUCGUAUCGGGUCGGGUUUCCCGUCGUACCCGAAACCCGAUGUGAUAACUUCGUGUGGUUAUCGGGGUAAAUAGCAAUAUUAGUCCUUGAUCUUCUUAUUUUUUAUGAUUUGGUACUUCUAACUUUAUAAUUUGGGGCUUUUGCCUUUUUAUACCCACUAGUAUUCAAAAUUUUUCAAAUUUAUUGCCAAAAUAUCCUUCUAACCUCAAAUCCUAUUAGUAAACCCUAGUAGAGAUUUGGAGAUAUUCAAAGGAAUUUUUAAAAAUUAAAAAAAAUAUUCUGAUCAACGAGAAAUAUAUUAAAUAUUUUUGAAGUUUUAAAAGGUACAGUAGAUAUUAUCCCUUCAAAUUUCACAUUUAAAACCUGUGAAUUUUUUAAAAAUACAUCUACUACUUACACCACUAUGCAAUUUCAGUUUCUACCUUCUAUUGAAUUGAAGGAUAUAUAUAUUUAUAUAUAUAUAUAUAUAUAUAUAUAUAUAUAUAUAUAUAUANNNNNNNNNNNNNNNNNNNNNNNNNNNNNNNNNNNNNNNNNNNNNNNNNNNNNNNNNNNNNNNNNNNNNNNNNNNNNNNNNNNNNNNNNNNNNNNNNNNNNNNNNNNNNNNNNNNNNNNNNNNNNNNNNNNNNNNNNNNNNNNNNNNNNNNNNNNNNNNNNNNNNNNNNNNNNNNNNNNNNNNNNNNNNNNNUAGCCGGUGCUAGUGGUUUUUGUACGAAGUUUUAGUAAGAACUGGUCACUAGCGAUGGGAGGAGGAAAGGGUGGAAGCAGCUCGCCGGUACUGCUGCUAGCCCAAGCAGUAAAAAGAGAGUGAAUAUUACAAAAGUACUACGUAUGCGUUACUUUCUCAAACACACUUCCGCUGCCUCUACCCUACUCGCAAACUCCAACAGCGGCCGUUACCUGUCUAACCCCCCCCCGCUGCUUCUUUUUCACCUCACAAAAGUCAGAUUUAGAUGUUUUUGCUUUUCUACCGGGUGAAAGCAUUUUGGUAUUUGAUCACUAAAAAAAAAAAAAAAAAAAAAAAAAAACCGUUUUCUCGGAAUCCGUAAUCGGUUGUGAGAAGUUAGAGAAAUUAAAAAGCACAGUAAAAUAACGGGAACAAAGACCCCUUUCUCCUGCUUGAUUAUUUACUUUUGUAAUCAAGACUCAACCUGAUGGUACGCGCUUACGUAUAUAUAUUGUUUGUGAUUGUAGGUAUCUGUAAAUAAUAAUAAUAAAAAAGCAUGUAAGUAAAAAUAUGUGCUAUUUAUUAAGUAGUGAUUACAUUGAAAAGUGUAAAUAUUCAGCGCGUAAACGAGAAAAUCUUUAUGUUGUUUAUUAAGUGGUUAACGUAACGAGCUCGUAAUAAGGAUUUGGGAAUGUCACCAUAGUAAGAGCAGCAGUUUGACAAUUCAAGAAAUUUAAAAUGUAAAGCUUUAAAUAAAAUUAGAAUAGAAUCUUUUAUAAUAAUAUACGUUUACCAAGUGAGUACACGUAAAUGUGAUAUAUAUAUAGAACGUGGUGGCAGUAGUGAGAAGAAAAAAUCAGGCAGAUGAUGCGAUAUUGCACUAUUUAUUAAAAAUUUCACUAUCUGAAUAUAUAUUGUACUAUUUAGUAAGAAAAUUGUACUAUUUUUUAAUUUAAUAUAUGUAUCAAAUGUGCAAUAACAUAUGUUCAAAUAGUGUAAUCUUUUUUAAAAUAAUGCAACAUCGUAUUAUCCGUUAGAUUUUUCCUGUUUACUAUCACUAUUAUUUCACUACCAUGGCUAUGCUCGUAAACAUUUCAGGAGCAUCCUCGACCAACGAUCAUUGCCCUCCUCCUCUACCACCUCCACCUCUAUCUCCAGUGAUACUCUGAGUAGCGUCACCCUCGUUUUUACUGCUGUGACCUUGUCAGAGAAUGCUAAGAACGGCCACGAUCACGGUCAUAAGUGGUCAAACUUUUUCAUCAUCCUUUCGCUCAUGCGCAAGGUAACGAAGGAGCCUAGGAUCGAUGUUGGAGCGAUAAAAGCCUUGGAGUGAGAGCAAACGGGAGGAAAAAGCGAAGGAAAGAGAGAGAAUUUGAAUAUUUUAGUCAUUUUAAAAAAAUUCGGAUUGAAUCUGCAAAAAUAAAAAAAUAGCUUAUUUUCGCAAAAUCACAAAACUAGUAGGUUUUUUAUGCAAAAAAAGCCAAAAUAAAAUAUAACUAGAUUAGAGUUGACAUUUUUCUAAUACCAAUGUCAUGAUUCUUGUCUCCUUCUACUGAAUAAAUCAUUUAAAAAGUAUAUAGUUCUGANUAUACCGACCAUUCCUAGAGCAAGUGGCAAAAGGCUUGGUGGUUGAUACUCGAGACCUAAGUUCGAAUCCUAGUUGAUUCACAUUUCCAGCUAAGUUUAUUUCUAAAUAAAAUAACAAAGCGGAUAGCGUGCUACCUAUCUCUCAAAAAAAAAAAAAAAUUGUGAUCAAAUUAUAACUUUGAAAAGUGUGCCAAAUGAUAAUUUGUUUAAUUUAUUUUCACUUUGGCACACUGGGGUUCAUAAAUUAAGUAAUUCUUAAUUGUUGUGUGAUUAUCAAAAAUCUUACUUUGCUAACUUAUCUAAGAGUAGAUUUUCUAGAAAAACAAAAAAAAAAAGAUAAAAUCAUAAAGUGUCAACGUGAAAAUACCAAAAAUAAAAUUUAUCCAACAUAUAAGCCUAACCAGUCGAAAAGGGCACAACUAUUAGCUUAAUUGGAAAUAUAUAACAACAUGCAUCCGUACAAAAACUUUAUUAGAGUCCUUUACAUGUUGGGUUUGGUAAGGUUCUUAAGUUUAACAACUAUUAGUAAUUAAUUAAGUUGGUCUAAUGAUGUUUGCUUUAGACUUAUUAAUGAAUAACAAAUUAACCGAAAAUGUAAGAGUUUUCUUAAUUAACUAAGUUGGUUUAAUGAUGUUUGCUUUAGACUUAUGAAUAACUAAGCAAACAAAGAAAGAGUUAAUUAAUGCCCUUAAAAAAGUUUUUAAAAAAUAGUGAUGACAUAAAAAUAUGUUUAUGAAUAACUAAUAUUCGACAAUACCAAUAUCUCUCACAAGCUAGAACAAUGGAUUGUGUCUAGGAACACCCAUAAUUUUGUCCAUUAGAAUUCACUUUUUGUUCUCAAACUAUGAGAUCGUGACACUUCAGUCCUUAAACACUAAAUUUCUGUACGUUACAAGCAAGCCUUACAGUCCAAUUUAAUUGACUAAAUGAUAAUAUUCCGCUGAUACGACAGUGGUGUUACAAUAUUUAAAUUGAUGUUGCGGUCAUGUCGAAAAUAUUUUACUCAUUAUAAUAUCAGUAACAAGUACAUCAAGAUUAUUGAAUCAAAUAAACUGCAUGCCAUGUGAACUUGAUUGCAAUAAUAUAGAAAGUUAGAGCUAGAAUCGCAAUAAAUUAAACUUUGAGGAUCAAAGUGUUGCCCGCAUUAAACUUGAGGACAAAAAGCGCAAUUUAGCCUAAUUUUGUCUCCCAAGUACCUAUCCAUCUUGGGGCAUAAUUAUAGCAAGCAUAGAUGCUCGCUUUAAGAACUUGAUUUGUUAAUAUAAAAUAGAAGAAAGAAAGAGCCAUUUGAGAUAUAAUUAAUAGAUGAGAAAUAUAUGCUUAAAAAAUUUUGAAAGAUGGGCCCAACAAAUUCAAGUGGGUUUAGUGGAUGAGUCAUGAAGAUAAAGAGUUUAGAUAAAUUCUAUAUCUCCAUGUUUGUCAUGUACUAUUUGUUAUGAGAGUUAGGUUAGAGGAUUUAUAUAAUUGAACUUUUUUGCAAUAACACACUCUUUAUUAUUAGAGGCACCAAAUACAAAUAGCAUAUGUUAGUGAAAGAUUGAGUCUUUUUCGCAGGUUACAUUUGGCAAUGGGUUUGGUGAGCAUAAAAAAUAAGUCAUGCUAAGGCUUAGUUUGGUAUUGAGACUUAUCAAACACUAUUAGAUAAAAUUAAGUUGAGAAAAAAACAUAUAGAGAUAUGCUUCUGCGUUCUCCGGUGGGACCGCAGAAAAUAUAUUGUAACCGACUCAUCGCGAUACGCGGAACACGUACGGAAACAAAUAGAAUAUUUUUCCAACGUACUUUUUCACCCCACAUAACGCUAUCUCACCGCAAUCUCAAACGAAGCCUAAAAUACAGAAAGCUUUUCUAUAAGUAUCUAUUUUUUUUACCUUUUCUCUCUAGAUUUCAAAAAUCUAUAUUUUAGCCCCGCAAAAUUUCAAGUUGACAUAUUUAGCCUCCCUAUAUUAGGGUUCCAUCACUAAUAUUCCGUCUAUUAAUUUUUUAAAAUUUAUUUCAAAAAUACUCUUAAAAAUGAUAGAAAUAUAUUAAAAUAUUAUUUUUUUAUAUAAUAAGUAAGGGUAAUUUGGUCAUUUCGUUUUUUCCCCCUUAAUACUGUGAUCAUAAAAAUAUUUUUAAAAUUUAAUAGAGUAAAUAAUAGAUUUUUAAAAGUAAAAAAAAAGGGUAAAAAAAAGAAUAUUUACAAAGAAUAUUUUAGCCGCAAGUCAUUGUAUGGUAAUGCAAUUAAUAUAUGUAUGGCUACAUUAAUUUGACAUAAGCUAUAAUUAUUUUUAACUUAUUUGUUUCUUGAGCUCUAUGUGACUGAAGGUGUUAAAUAAUAAUAGUAAAUUGUUUGUAAAAUUGACAUCUAGUAGAUUGUUUUGUUUGGUAAUAAAAUGUGAAAAAUUAGUUUAUGAGAAAUUUUUCGAUCAAUUAACACUAGUGAAAAAAAGCGAAACAAGAAAAUAAUAAUACCAAACGAGGUCUACGUCGAAUGCAUGUUUACCAAAAUAAUCUAUUUAGAUCUACGUGCUUGUACGAAAAUCAAAAUCGAAGAAAAUGAGAAAUUUACAUUUAAUUAUACAUGAUAAGGUUUGAAUAUAUAGAAUUGUACAUUGACGCAACUCCAAAGAAGAGUGGUGUGAUUUACGAGUAGAGUGGUAAUUAAUUAUGAUAAGCAAAAAAAAAAAAAAACUAAUAAAAAUUGUCAUAUCAACGUAAUUGAAACGUUGAAGAACUUAAUUAUUAAGUGGUUAUUAUAAUAUUUUUCAGAGGAUAAUGCAUGCCUCAGUAUAAAUUGUUAAAUUUUUAGAGAACAUUAAUUAAUUAACAUAAUAUCAUAGCAAAACGUACUGACUUUGAAUUUUAUUGAACUUCUAAUAUCACUGAGAUUCAGAAGCUACAUAAAUCGAAUACAGUUCAAACUUUAAAAUGAAUCCAAAUCAUAUGUAGGUCAAUUGUUAAAGAAAAUGCUACUUAUACACUACCGUUUGGUUCGGGUAUAAGCAAGAACCAGCUAUUACAGGGAUAAGUUCAAGUAUGAGAAUAAAAAAAAAUAGCGUUUGGAUGAAAAUUGGAUUGUUCCGGGAGAUGAAAAAAUAGCGUUUGGAUAGAUAAUAUGGAAUAAGAAAAAUAUUAGGUAGUUUUAUAUAUAAAAUGGAGGUGUUGAUGGGAAUAGUUAUAACCGGCUAUUAUAGGUAACCGAGAAUGACUGUUCUCAAAUAAAAAAUUAGCGUUUGGGUAUAAAGGGGAUAAGGGCCUAUCCCUAUUCCUAUUCCUAUUCCUAUCCCCUAACCAAACAGUGCCAAGUUUGGUAUAGAUCUUCCAUGCAUCUACUCGUACGUAUCCAAUGGUUUAGACCCAGCUUUUAAAUUUUUAAUGUUAAAAAAGAGAAUUGAUAAGAUUAAUAUGAAAAUAAAAGUAAAGACCCUUAUAUAUGCAAACUAGGUGCAUUUUUCCCUGAUAUUUGGAUAAGAUGAUGCACCAGCUUUUGAAAGCAAUUUGACGCCUACGUGUGCUUUUCUACUGGAAAGGAAAGAGAGAGCAAAAGAAGAGGGAAAAAGUUAGUAUGCUUCACAAGAUAACGCACAAGAAACAGCAUGGAAGGUGUCCUAAUUAAAAUGGGGUUGUUUUUUUUUUAGCGUAUCCAAUGCAACAAAGUUUUGGCUUUUGUUUAGGUUGAGCCCAGAAUGGGCAUUAACUCACUUCAUGGUUCCACUCUCAUGGAUCUAUAAUAAUCUAUAUCUAUAGUAAUAAUAAUAAUAUAAUAAAUAUAAUAACAACAUUACAUAAAAAGGCAUCGGGAGGGUGCCACAUGGCGCCCUCGAGGUACCUUCUAUCCUUUUGUUUAUGUUUUAUAUUAUUUAAUGGUCAAUUUGCAUAAAAAAUUUUACCGAUUUUGCAUUCCUGCAAAAAAUAGGUCAUCACUAUUUUGAAUUUUAUAAAUCCAGCCUGAAAUUUUAGUAAACUAACUAAAAUACUUUUAUUUAUUUUUCUCUUUCCUUUUUUUUUUUCUCUCUUCUUUGUCUUUCUCCUCAGCUCGUCUCCCUCCUUCUGUUUCUUCCUGUCCUUCCUCUACCAUUUUUGUUGGCAUAAAAAGAUCAGCAUUCUGUCAUGUGGCGAGCGGUAGCUAGUGCUCGGCCGAGUCACGUUCGAAAUAUCAGGAGGUCGGAUUGGGCCGAUUUAUGUUUGAAGUGGAGUGAUGCUGGUUGGACCGAGUCACAAUCAAGACCCAUGGACACUGUGCAUGUACACUUUAAGAGAAUUGGUUGUAUCUUUCUAAUAAUAUGAGUUUUUGGGAUUAAUAGUUAGCGCCAAUAAUCUGGCAGCUUCCUCUCCCUUCUCCUCCUCCUCCUCAUCCUCUAGCACCCCCACAUCGACGCCGUGCCUCACUCUGUUAUCUUGUCCAUAUCUCCGUCAACGCCGGCUCGGAUAUAAUACAGAUUGUAGAAAUGAGACUGCGGCAGAACGCAUGGCUACGGAUAGUAGUGGCAGAUGGUGAUGAGGGCCUUGUAGGAUUUGAGGACGAUUGGAGGGGGGAGGGGGCGGGGGGGCGGGGAGAGCGUUGAGGCUAUUGGAUUUUAUCCAACGAUAAGUUUUGAUGAUAAUAAACAAAUUUUAGAUUUAUUUUGUCACUUAAUAAUUUUUAAUUUUAUUUGGAUUUGAAUUGACUCAAGCCGAACUGGAAUUGAUCAAAGUAACUAUUUAGUCAAAUUGUUCAAAAAUAGUCUGGACACGAUCAAAUUGUACAAAAUUAGAUGCAAGUACCACAUCAACAUUUUGGAGAACUUCUUUGCAAUGUUAUUGGGUUUGAACCGGUCAACCAAAUCAUGUUGACAAAUUAGCCAUUAUUCUUAAUAUAGUAUGAAUUUAAAAGAGGUUUCUUAUAUGGUAUAAAAANAUUUUGGAGAACUUCUUUGCAAUGUUCUUGGGUUUGAACCGGUCAACCAAAUCAUGUUGACAAAUUAGCCAUUAUUCUUAAUAUAGUAUGAAUUUAAAAGAGGUUUCUUAUAUGGUAUAAAAACAAAAAUGAUUUCAUGAAAUAUGAUAUAAAUGAGUUUUACAGUUAUGAUAUUAAUUCAACAGCUUUUUACAAAUGUAGUAUAAAUUCAAAAAGGCUUUACAUUUAUAGUAUUAAUUCAAAAGCUUGUUACAAAUGUGGUAUAAAUUCAAAAUGGUUUUACAUUUGUGGUGCUAAUUCUAAGGAGUUUUACAAAUUUGCAUAAUUUCAAAUGAGCUUUUCAAAUAUAGUAAAAUUUCAAAUGUGCUUUGCAAAUAUAGUAUGAAUUCAAAAUAAUUUUGGAAUUAAUUUAAAUAUAUUUGCAAAUAUGGUUGAAAUUCAAAUUAAAAUUAAUUAUCCUGCAAUCAUACUUUAUUCUAUUUUUGAAAUGAUGGCUAGUGUACUUUAAGGGAUUUGGAUAUUGUUUGAGACAACUUUACAUUGAGAGAAAAUUUUCUAAGUCAUAAUUUGUCACGCUCCGGAUUACUCGUUUUUCCGGGUACGCUAACAGACCCGCCGUGUACAUAGAAAUUUUUCCUGUAUACGAAGCGAUAGCUGUACCUGUAAUCAUACAACACUACAACCAGUAGUAUUGAGCUGCUAAAAGAAAAACAUAUAUAAAUAACACCGGUUCAAUAUACAUACAUCUUAUCCUGGUACAAAAACACUCGCUCAUCAGUAUGUAUAAGAACCAAAAACUAAAACUACCUGUAGCUGGUAGAACUCUAGAUCAGCAGCAAAACGGGAAGGGAUCUAGCUCGCGACUCUCUUUCCACGAUCUAUCUCUGCAACAGCAGCAGCCGAAGAAGAAGGCUCUGCAAAAGAUCCACAACUGGGUGUGAGAACUACUGCAAAAAGAAGUAGUCUUCAGUGGGUACCGCUACCGACCUCAACGGCUCAUCCACUAAGUCAACAGAAUGGAUGCUCAAUGAUAGUAAAGGAACAGGAAACAAUCUACAGCUAUAUGCCACUAUACUAUCAUGAUCCAACACUAACUAUCUGUAGAAUAAUGCCAUCUCUGAUCCAAUCUCACUAGGGACUGUAAAUAUACUUGUCCCGCCUGUCGAAGCUACACUAACAACAACCACACUAGGUAGUCAAUGGAGAGCGAGUCCAAACAGGACACAACGACACCAACGCAACACACUAAGUCCAACUUCGGAGUGGCACUCGUGGGCGCUACCCAACCGAGUAUGCAAGCGUAUCUCUGUCGAGCUCAAUCAGGCUCUCAAAGGCAACAGUCAAAGUAAACAAGGUCUAACUGGUCUAACAACUAAACUCACGUGCCCUCGGCACAAUCUGAUGCAAAAACAGCAAUCUGGGUCCAUCGUCAACCUCAAUGGCACCCGACAGUCCGAAACAACUUAAACACUGCUGUAAAAAUAAGCUCGGCAUCCCAGCACGAGUGUAAAUACAUUCUACACUAUCCUGGGUAUCCACCGACAACUAACUACGGCGAUACAAAUAAACUACAGCUCCUAAACUAUCCGCGUAUCAAAUGCACACUAACAGCGUGGAUACGAACCGCAACAGCUUCAGAAGCUAUCCGAGUAUCAAAUGCGCACUAACAUCGUGGAUACGAAACGCAACAGCCUCAGAAACUAUCUGAGUAUCAAAUGCGGACUAACAACGUGGAUACAAAGCGCAAUAGCUUAAGGAGCUAUCUGAUAGUUUUUAGAAACUGACAGUAUAGAACCUAUAGUUUUCUGCUAAGUCAAAUUCAAGUCCAACAUGUAUAAUUUGUUUAAACUGAUAACUACGCUCCCAAUUCAGAUUUUAAGAACAUGCAACUUCAUGAAUUUGAGCUACUAAACAUGAUACUCAAAGCACAAUAAUACAUGCUGUCAACUGAAGCUUAGAAGGAAAUCCGUAGAAUCCGGUAAGUAUAUCAUUAACCCACCUCUAGUGCGAGCUCGACAAAGGCAAGAAUUUGCUGCUAGAAGCCCUGCCAAAGUCCACCUCAAACCAGCAGCAACUCUUCCAAAGGAUCUAACACAAGAUUACCAAAGAUUGCAUCAUUACCCUCAAAAUUCAGCACUUAAGCUUAAAUCCUCCAAUUCCAAAGUCAAACUCACCUUCUAAUACUCAAAUCAGAUGAAGGAAGGUCCCAAAACCAGUGGAGGAUGAUGGAGCACUAUUCUCAGGUCGCAUUUCCAGCUCCCUCCAAGAAUUGAUCCAAGAAAACCAUAAAAACUCCAAUUUCAGCACAAACAUGAUAGCAGCUCAGAAAAACAUCAAAUUGACCAAACAAACCUCAAUCAAAUACUGUCAAAAUAGGCUCAAUGAAACCUCCAAGAAGUCCGCUAACCACCAAACCAAGUUUCGUAGCAAUCCGACCUCCCCACGUUGCACACGAGCCAAAACGUUGAAGGUCGCUGCUGAAAAUCUGCUAAAACUGCAAUCCUCAAGUUGGAAUGGUGUAAUUUGGAGAAUUUGAGGGACUAAAGUGCAAUUUUGAGGUUGCCUUGUGAAGAAGGGUGAAAACGAAGGGUGAAAAACCAUCUCAGGAGGUCGAUUCUUUGCUUUUAUAAAUAGGUGGAAUGGUCAAAUAAGCCCCAGGAACAAGAAACACUAAUCUGUUGUCCCUGCAGAAACGGCCACUUUCGGGCGCCCGAAACCAAGUUCUGGGUGUCCGAAACUUCCAGCCCAUACAAAACUUCAUCUUCGGUUCUUCCGCCUGCGGUGUGCUGCGCCCUUAUCCUGGUCCGGCAGAUCACACCUAGCACUAACACGUGUCAGCACAGUCGAUAUUCCCAAAGUGAACAUUCAGACCCACUUCUGGGCGCCCAGAAUAUAGGAUCCGAAUUUGCUUUCAGUUUCAGUUCAGUUCUACACUCAAGAUCUGGGCAACUCAAACCAGGUUCUAGGUGCCCGAAACUAGCAAGACUCCAGUUUUGCUUAUUUGAGUGCGCCAAGUCCAUUCCUGUAUCCAUUUCAUGCAAAAACGAUUCCGACUCAGUCCGACAUUCUUCAGAUGUGUCGACCAGUCACUAAUACUGUAGCCAAUUCGAUCCAAACCUCUGGAACACUACAUAAUUAUUAUUUAUUUUGUAAUUGUAUGUUUCAUUGAGAGAUUAUGAUAGAAGUGUUAUAAAGUGUGAUUGUAAACGAUUUUGAUCUAGCCCUAUUCAAAAGAUCAAUUGAUAGUUGUUGGCGUAAAGGAGCCAGCAUUCUGCCUUAUGGCGUAAGGCCAAGUUAGGCAAAGUCACGUUCGAAACGGUGUGAGGCUGGAUUUAGCCAAGUCAUGUUCGAAGUGGCGUGAGGCUAGUCGGGCCGAGUCACAAUUGACACCUCUAGGCGCUGUGUCUAUACACCUUAAAUGAAUUGGUUGCAUAUUUCUGACAUCUUGAGUUUCUGAGAUUAAUAGUUAGCGCCAACGAUCCGAUAAGUGGUGUCAGAGCUAGUGGGUUCGAUUUUUGCAUGCCGUGAAUUUGUGUAGAUGCUGGAGGAAGGAGUUUUGGCUUAAAGGGGUUAGCAUCAUGUCCUGUGGCGAGAGGCCAAGUUGGGCCAUGUUACGUUCGAAUUGGCAUUACACUAGUUGGGUCGAGUCACAAUCGAGACCCGUAGGUGCUGUGUCUGUACGUUUUACGUGAAUUGGUUGUGUAUUUCUAUCAGCUUGAGAUUUUGGGAUUAAUAGUUAACACCAACAAUCCGACAAUGAAGGGGGUAGCAGCCACAGCAGAGGGCGAGGGAGUGGUUACAAUAGUGAAAAAAGAUACAUAUAGUGAAAGAAAAGAAAGAAGAAAGAAUAAAAAUAAAAAAAAAUAUUUUUUUUUCUUGCCUUGAAAAGACUACAAUGUGUCAUGACCGCUGUAGAAAAGGUUAAGAAGUAGAGAAGAAAAAAAAAGAAAAUGAAGUUGCGUUAUUUGAGAUGAAAGUUACGCUAAGGCAAAAAUUGUACUCUUUGAGGCGAAAGUUGUACUUUUUGAUAUGAAUGUUAAACUUUUUUAUGCAAAAGUUACGCCAUUUAAAAUUAUUUAAGACUUAGUUGUACCAUAUAGAAUAAAAGUUGUUCUCUUUAAAACUAAGUUGUACUGUUUCAAACUUAAGUUGAACCAUUUUAUGCUAAUUAGCCUAAGUAGUACUGUUGACAUAGUCUUGAAUAAUUUUAAAUAGUUGAACUUAAAUCUCAAACUAUAUAACUUAGUAUCAAAUAAUGCAACUUCUAUUCAAUAUGAUGCAAUUUAGUCUCAAAUAGUUUUAAAUAGUGUACUUUUUGUUUCAGAGUAUAACUUUCAUCUAAAAUAUUGCAACUUUCGGCUUAAAGAAUGCAACUUUCGCCUUAAACAGUGUAACUUUCGUCUCAAAUAGUAUAAUUUCGUCUUCUUUUUUCUUCUCUACUUAUUGAUCUUUUCUAUAGCGGCCAUGGUAUAUAAUAGUCUUUCUAGGAGAAGAAAAAUAUCUCUAUUUUUUUAUUCUUUAUUCUUUUUUUUACCCUUUUUAUUUUUCUUUUUGCUACCACACUCUUUUCCCCGCCCUCUGCCCCCACCCCCCCGCUCUGGUGCGCUCUUCCUUAUCGUCAUCCUCAAAUCCUGCAAUGUUCACUGUCAACCACGCGUUUCGCCGCUCUCACGCAUAUCGGGCACAUUAAUAGACCGGCCAAAU